GGGUCAUCGUCCUUGACUUUGUGGGAUUAAGCAUGGCUUUCGACGUUAGCAGAGAAACUAGUUGGAAGUUGUUCGCAGCUCUCAUUUUGUUGAGUUAUUUAUGCCCAUGUCCACACUGUUAUGCUUUGGCUAUAGUGAAGAAGGUUGAGCCAAGCAUUGCAAGCGGUGAGGCAUCAAAAGAGGGUGUCCUAGCGGGAAGUAUUCUCUUUGGCAGCACCGUGGAUCGUGCCGAGUCAUUAACGGGGCUUCUUGGCUCUUAUCAAGCAGAUGAUGCAGGAACAGCUGGCCUUUUUUUGGCUAAUUCGGGUUGGAGGCAAAUGGAUACUUCCUUAAAAUGUGGUGAGGACCAGAUGCAACUCAAAGCCAUGGGACCUGGAUCCUCUUACUUCAUGCUUGACAUGGGGGGUGAUGCUCCCAUGGUGCCGAACCAGGUUAAACCACAAUGUGGCUACUCCAUGAAAUACAACUCUUUGGGUCUUGUGUUGAUGGUUCCUUACAACGGCUGUCAUAUGACGCAAGAAGUAAAUGGAUUCUAGUGAAGUUCGUCAUUUCAAUUACGUUAUAAUGAUUGGCAUUCAUGUUCUAAUGGUGCCUUUUUUUUUUUUUUUUUCUAGAAUGGAUUUUAUAUACUGCCAAUGCAGUGGAAGGGGACCCAAGUCAAACUCUGUUGCCCCAUU